UGGGGACGACGUCAAGUCCUCAUGGCCCUUAUGUCCAGGGCUACACACGUGCUACAAUGGGCCGUACAAGGGAAGCGAACCCGCGAGGAAGAGCAAAUCCCAAAAACGGUUCUCAGUUCGGAUUGGAGUCUGCAACUCGACUCCAUGAAGUCGGAAUCGCUAGUAAUCGCGGGUCAGCAGACCGCGGUGAAUACGUUCCCGGGUUUU
rnacentral:rRNA from 1 species